UGGGGAAUAUUGCACAAUGGAGGGAACUCUGAUGCAGCGACGCCGCGCGAGUGAUGAAGGAAUUCGUUUCGUAAAACUCUGUUCUAUGGGAAGAAAAGGACUGUACCAUAGGAGAAAGCUCCGGCUAAAUACGUGCCAGCAGCCGCGGUAAUACGUAUGGAGCGAGCGUUGUCCGGAAUUAUUGGGCGUAAAGGGUGCGCAGGCGGCUUUACAAGUUGGAUGUGAAAUAUUGUGGCUCAACCACAAACGUGCAUCCAAAACUGCAAAGCUUGAGUUAAGGAGAGGUAAGUGGAAUUCCUGGUGUAGCGGUGGAAUGCGUAGAUAUCAGGAGGAAUACCGGUGGCGAAGGCGACUUACUGGACUUAAACUGACGCUCAGGCACGAAAGCGUGGGGAGCAAACAGG
rnacentral:rRNA from 1 species